AUGGAUCAGCUUUUUAUUACAACGGACAAGUUUGAUGUAAAUCUAGGACAUGUCUCCGAAAGCUUCAAGGUCGGUAAAUCAGUACGCACCGAAGCAAUCAAGCCCAUGCUAACAAUCUUGAGAAAACAACUCAAUGGCACACGGAGAAAGAUUCUGCCGUUAAGCAACACUUUCCUUCUACCAUGUUCAUUGUGCGGGUUUGAGCAAGACGAAACUAUAAGUCAUUACUUCACCAUCACAGUUAACAUGCAAAAACAACGCUUUGAACUCCUUAACUCUUCAACUGCAUAUCCAGGCACAAUAGAAUUCUUCAACAAUGUAACCAGCAAACUAAUGAAAAUGUGGAAGCACAUAAGCAUAGAGCUACAACUUUCAGAAAAAAGCAUCGACCAUUACAACAAGGUCAGACUGCAGGUGCCACUUCAAGAAGAAGACAUAAUGGACUGCGCAUUCUAUAGGUACAUGAACCUGAAGCACUACUCCAGUGAUGGAACAACAACAACCUUAAAGCCAGAACAAGUACCAAAGUUGAGGAAAAAAGUUCUAUAUCAACUAAUCAGUCAACACAGAGGGAAUACAAAACUGUCACUAAUCAAGUGUACAACAGAUAUGCUGAAGUAUGAAGUAGAUAUGGAAGACAAAGAAAUGCAACAGGCACAAUGUUGCAUACUAGAACAGUUUCCGCCUACUCCCGGGCCAAAAGAACAUAUUAUGCAUGCGACAACCACACAAGAGCAUGAAGUUAUUGAUAUAUCCAGUAAACGCAAAGAGAUUAUGGAUGUCAGCAGCCACGCUGAAGAGGAAACGGACGAGCAAAAUAUCAACAGCAAUAUCACGACCACAGAGCAACUGGAACAAACAAGCACUGAUUUAAAAGAGGAUGACAGAAGCAACAACGUUCCAAAUACACAACAACAGGUUUCCGAGUAG
rnacentral:rRNA from 1 species